CAGCCGCGCGGGAAUACGGAGGGUGCAAGCGUUAAUCGGAAUUACUGGGCGUAAAGCGCACGCAGGCGGUUUGUUAAGUCAGAUGUGAAAUCCCCGAGCUUAACUUGGGAACUGCAUUUGAAACUGGCAAGCUAGAGUCUUGUAGAGGGGGGUAGAAUUCCAGGUGUAGCGGUGAAAUGCGUAGAGAUCUGGAGGAAUACCGGUGGCGAAGGUGGCCCCCUGGACAAAGACUGACGCUCAGGUGCGAAAGCGUGGGGAGCAAACAGGAUUAGAUACCCCUGUAGUCCCUGUCUCUUAUACA
rnacentral:rRNA from 1 species